rnacentral:rRNA from 1 species
UGGGGAAUUUUGGACAAUGGGCGAAAGCCUGAUCCAGCAAUGCCGCGUGUGUGAAGAAGGCCUUCGGGUUGUAAAGCACUUUUGUCCGGAAAGAAAUCCUCUGGGUUAAUACCUCGGGGGGAUGACGGUACCGGAAGAAUAAGCACCGGCUAACUACGUGCCAGCAGCCGCGGUAAUACGUAGGGUGCAAGCGUUAAUCGGAAUUACUGGGCGUAAAGCGUGCGCAGGCGGUUUUGUAAGACGGAUGUGAAAUCCCCGGGCUUAACCUGGGAACUGCAUUCGUGACUGCAAGGCUAGAGUAUGGCAGAGGGGGGUUAGAAUUCCACGUGUAGCAGUGAAAUGCGUAGAGAUGUGGAGGAAUACCGAUGGCGAAGGCAGCCCCCUGGGCCAAUACUGACGCUCAUGCACGAAAGCGUGGGGAGCAAACAGGAUUAGAUACCCUGGUAGUCCACGCCCUAAACGAUGUCAACUAGUUGUUGGGGAUUCAUUUCCUUAGUAACGUAGCUAACGCGUGAAGUUGACCGCCUGGGGGAGUACGGUCGCAAGAUUAAAACUU